rnacentral:rRNA from 1 species
UAUACGACCGUACCGCAAACCGACACUGGUGCGCGAGAUGAGUAUUCUAAGGCGCUUGAGAGAACUCAGGAGAAGGAACUCGGCAAAUUGACACCGUAACUUCGGAAGAAGGUGUGCCCUAUUAGUGUGUAGUGAACAACGAAGCAUGAAUGGGUUGCAAAAAAUCGGUGGCUGCGACUGUUUAUUAAAAACACAGCACUCUGCAAACACGAAAGUGGACGUAUAGGGUGUGACGCCUGCCCGGUGCUGGAAGAUUAAAUGAUGGGGUGCAAGCUCUUGAUUGAAGUCCCAGUAAACGGCGGCCGUAACUAUAACGGUCCUAAGGUAGCGAAAUUCCUUGUCGGGUAAGUUCCGACCUGCACGAAUGGCGUAACGAUGGCCACACUGUCUCCUCCUGAGACUCAGCGAAGUUGAAAUGUUUGUGAUGAUGCAAUCUCCCCGCGGAAAGACGGAAAGACCCCAUGAACCUUUACUGUAGCUUUGUAUUGGACUUUGAACAGAUCUGUGUAGGAUAGGUGGGAGGCUUUGAAGCGGGGUCGCUAGAUCUUGUGGAGCCAACGUUGAAAUACCACCCUGGUGUGUUUGAGGUUCUAACCUAGGUCCAUUAUCUGGAUCGGGGACAGUGCAUGGUAGGCAGUUUGACUGGGGCGGUCUCCUCCCAAAGCGUAACGGAGGAGUUCGAAGGUACGCUAGUUACGGUCGGACAUCGUGACGAUAGUGCAAUGGCAUAAGCGUGCUUAACUGCGAGACUGACAAGUCGAGCAGAUGCGAAAGCAGGACAUAGUGAUCCGGUGGUUCUGUAUGGAAGGGCCAUCGCUCAACGGAUAAAAGGUACUCUGGGGAUAACAGGCUGAUACCGCCCAAGAGUUCAUAUCGACGGCGGUGUUUGGCACCUCGAUGUCGGCUCAUCUCAUCCUGGGGCUGUAGCCGGUCCCAAGGGUAUGGCUGUUCGCCAUUUAAAGAGGUACGUGAGCUGGGUUUAAAACGUCGUGAGACAGUUUGGUCCCUAUCUUCCGUGGGCGCUGCAGAUUUGAGGAAGCCUGCUCCUAGUACGAGAGGACCGGAGUGGACACACCUCUGGUGUAUCGGUUGUCACGCCAGUGGCAUUGCCGAGUAGCUAAGUGUGGAAGAGAUAACCGCUGAAAGCAUCUAAGCGGGAAACUCGUUUCAAGAUGAGAUCUGCCGGGGCCUUGAGCCCCCUAAAGAGUCGUUCAAGACCAGGACGUUGAUAGGUCAGGUGUGGAAACA